GCGUGGUUAGUUCAGUGGUAGAAUUACUGGUUUCCAACCAGUCGACUCGGGUUCGAAUCCCGGACCGCGCA
rnacentral:tRNA from 1 species